rnacentral:rRNA from 1 species
AUAAACCCAGAUAUUUAACACACAAAAAUAUUCGCCAGAGAACUACGAGCAAAACGCUUAAAACUCUAAGGACUUGGCGGUGCCUUAAACCCCCCUAGAGGAGCCUGUUCUAUAAUCGACAAUCCACGAUCCACCUAACCAUCUCUUGCAAAUACCGCCUAUAUACCGCCGUCACUAGCUUACCCUGUGAAGGACAUAAAAGUAAGCAAAAUAGCUAAUAACAGCUAAUAAGUCAGGUCAAGGUGUAGCUAACUGAGA